UACGUAGGGCGCGAGCGUUGUCCGGAAUUAUUGGGCGUAAAGAGCUCGUAGGUGGCUUGUUGCGUCUGCCGUGAAAGCCCGUGGCUUAACUACGGGUCUGCGGUGGAUACGGGCAGGCUAGAGGCUGGUAGGGGCAAGCGGAAUUCCUGGUGUAGCGGUGAAAUGCGCAGAUAUCAGGAGGAACACCGGUGGCGAAGGCGGCUCGCUGGGCCAGAUCCGACACUCAUCCGCGAAAGCGUGGGGAGCAAACAGG
rnacentral:rRNA from 1 species